GGAAUCAGGUGUCUGUAUAUAUGUCAUUUCUUCAAGAAGAUUGAAUCUGUGAGACCAGGUGACGGAUUAUUGGAUACCUUUCUGACAUCGUGAGCUUCAAAAGAUCAAGGAAGUGUGCCACUUGAAGUCCUGAGGAUUGCUAAAAUUUUGAUUUCAUUGAAGAUUCUGGAACUUCAUUCUGCAGAAAUUUUUAUUUCACUGAAAUACAACUAUCAUAAAAAAUAAACUUUUUUAAAAUCUC
rnacentral:lncRNA from 1 species